rnacentral:rRNA from 1 species
UACGUAGGGGGCAAGCGUUGUCCGGAUUCAUUGGGCGUAAAGAGCGUGUAGGCGGCCAGGUAGGUCGGUUGUGAAAACUGGAGGCUCAACCUUCAGAGGUCGACCGAAACCAUCUGGCUAGAGUCCGGGAGAGGAGAGUGGAAUUCCUGGUGUGAGCGGUGAAAUGCGCAGAUAUCAGGAGGAACACCGAUGGCGAAGGCAGGUCUCUGGGCCAUAACUGACGCUGGAGAAGCGAAAGCAUGGGGAGCGAACAGG